GGCUUUCGCCCGAUUCUCGGUACCGUGUCGGUGCUGGCGCCGACAGCUCUGCUCUCCAGAGUCAGCAGAAAUGGCAUGCAUCAGCAACACUGAGCCAGGAGAUGGAGACAUUAAUUCAGUGUGCUAGCUAGCUGGUGGCUUUAGGAUGUGGCUUAUGCUCUACAGUGGCUCCUGUUGUGCUGAGACAGAGCAGAAACAGAUGCCGAUUAAGGAAGAAGAGAGGAACCUGGUAGCUGGUUUGGUCCAAGCAAGGUGCUUUCCCUGUGCUCUGCUGGAGGCAUAAACUCCGUGAACUGAAAAUAGCCAAGAAAACAACUAUAAUUUCCUCCUUGCUUCCUACAAAGGAUUGAACAAAAAUGCUCAGGCCCUCCCGGGCGAUCAUAAAGAAGUUUAAAAUUUCAAAUAUUAUUAAAUAUCUGCUUCUUGCUGUUUUAAUGGUGAUUCAAACAUUGAAGAAGAAAGUUUCUGAGCAGCGAUCCACAGAACUUUCUCAAACUGAGCAGAACUUUGGAGUAGAAGGUUUUGGUAGGAAGGCAUCAUCCCAAAAUGUCAUCAGAACUGGAGGAACUCAAAUUUGAAAUCCAGAAAUGUAAAUUCGAGAGGCAUGAACUUUAUCAAAUCCUGGACCUUUAUAUCUAUGAUGAUUGGGAC
rnacentral:lncRNA from 1 species